rnacentral:rRNA from 1 species
UGCCAGCCGCCGCGGUAAUACAGAGGUCUCAAGCGUUGUUCGGAUUUACUGGGCGUAAAGGGUGCGUAGGCGGCGAGGUAAGUCAGAUGUGAAAGCUCAGGGCUCAACCCUGGAAAUGCAUCCGAUACUGCCUUGCUAGAGUAGUGGAGGGGCGACUGGAAUUCAUGGUGUAGCAGUGAAAUGCGUAGAUAUCAUGAGGAACACUAGUGGCGAAGGCGAGUCGCUGGACACUUACUGACGCUGAGGCACGAAGGCCAGGGUAGCGAAAGGGAUUAGAUA